rnacentral:rRNA from 1 species
UACGAAGGGGGCUAGCGUUGCUCGGAAUGACUGGGCGUAAAGGGCGCGUAGGCGGACGGCUUUGUCGGGCGUGAAAUUCCAGGGCUUAACCUUGGGGCUGCGUUCGAGACGGGUUGUCUAGAGUUUGGAAGAGGGUCGUGGAAUUCCCAGUGUAGAGGUGAAAUUCGUAGAUAUUCGGAAGAACACCAGUGGCGAAGGCGGCUCACUGGCCCGUUACCGACGCUCAGGCGCGACAGCGUGGGGAGCAAACAGG